AACGCACAUUGCGCCCGCCAGUAUUCUGGCGGGCAUGCCUGUUCGAGCGUCAUUCCAACCCUCAGCAAGGCCCCUUUACGGGGGCGGCGCUGGCGUUGGGGACCAGCGGCAACGGGGAACCGCCCUCGCGGCGCGCACCCGAGCUGGCCCUUAAACCUAGUGGCGGUCACGCCUGAGCCUCCUAUGCGUAGUAGUAAACACCUCGCACCCGGAGCUCUGCGCGGCCUCGCCGUAAAACCCCCCAAUUUUUCAAGGUUGACCUCGGAUCAGGUAGGAAUACCCGCUGAACUUAA
rnacentral:misc_RNA from 1 species